GUUAGAGGUCAGUGCACUGCAUCGUAACUUUCAGAAAUUCUGACCUAGAUUUGUGUUUAAAGUGUAACUGAUGGGAAUUAUGACUGUUUGGUUACGUUCACAGAUGAGCUUGGGGGAGCGGUCACUUCUCACCAUCUCCUCUGACUACGCCUAUGGAAGCAAAGGACAUCCUGGCAUUAUCCCUCCACACGCUACCCUUAAAUUCGAUGUAGAAUUAUUGUGUUUGGAGUGAGGGCAUUGUGCCCCCCAUCAUGGGUACGUAGGAGUCUUUUAAUAGUCUUUAUGAGCCAAGUCUACCUUCACGUUUUGAAUAUGUUCUGAUCUGGUAUGUCUUUAGGUGCGGAGAGGGGUCUGCUCACAAGGUCGCAUGGUCACUGAAUAUGGACACCAGGGCCAAGAAUGGACACAUCCUGACCUCCCUUUUUUCACUCUACUUCCCACUCAGACGUUUUGCUUGACAGUUUUUGACCCCUCCCUGCUUCUCAUCCUCCUGGCCAGCAGGGUAACUUUGGGCACUCUCACAGCGGAUGACUUGAGGCAGGAGGUGGUUGUGAUCAUACCAGUGAUGCCACCGGAUGUCUCGACUCUGUGCAGAAGGCAAACUCGCACUGUUCCUUAUUCACCUGGUGUGAGAAUUCUCCAUCUGUAUACAUGCCCUUGGCAGGGGUUGAGAUAGCACUACGAGGGUUUGACUCUUUUAUGGCUGUACACUGCAGAGAUUUGUUUAACCUGUAGGGUUUUAAGCCAAUUUGUCCUUCAGUGGUGCAGCUCCUCCCCUUCCUGCCUGCACAGCGUGAUCCCUUUCCACCUCCGCACUCUUAAAUAAACCGCUUUUCUCUACCUCUGA